UACGAAGGGGGCUAGCGUUGCUCGGAAUCACUGGGCGUAAAGGGCGCGUAGGCGGGUUUUUAAGUCAGAGGUGAAAUCCUGGAGCUCAACUCCAGAACUGCCUUUGAUACUGAAAGUCUUGAGUAUGGGAGAGGUGAGUGGAACUGCAAGUGUAGAGGUGAAAUUCGUAGAUAUUCGCAAGAACACCGGUGGCGAAGGCGGCAACCUGGUCCUUGACUGACGCUGAGGCGCGAAAGCGUGGGGAGCAAACAGG
rnacentral:rRNA from 1 species